CCCAUCCCACUCAACAAACAAACACAGCAGGGUGAGCCCGUUUUUACACAGGGUGUGUGUGUGUGUGUGUGUGUGUGUGUGUGUGUGUGUGUGUGUGUGUGUGUGUGUGUGUGUGUGUGUGUGUGUGUGUGUGUGUGUGCCUGCGUGCAGAGCGUGUCAAUGCGGAGACGCACUAAUGAACCGUUAACGUUGAACAGACUACUAAUUACCAUCACAGAGUCGCAGGUCGCUGUACGUGCAUGCCCAGUGUUUCCCAUACAUGCAUUUAGCAGUGGCGCACCGCCGCAGCAAAUCGUUUUCGGGAUAGUAAAACAUGAUAUCAAGUAUGUAGAAAAGACAAUGAAACAAUAUAUUUUUUAAACAAAAUAUCAUCUUUGAGAAAUAACAAUCAGUAAAAUAACAAAUAUUUAGGGAGAAUCUGAAAUUCCCAAAAUGUCAAGUCGGCGUUGAUUUUGUUAGAACGUUUGAGUCACCAGGACAAUAACAAGGCAUAAGCCACGGCAAAAUGUGUAGAAUUAUAGGAAACUAGCUUUAAAACCGUAAAAUAUUCUCUCUGCCCCAUGGCAAAAUGUGUAGAAUUAUAGGAAACUAGCUUUAAAACAGUAAAAUAUUCUCUCUGCCCCAUGGUAAAAUGUGUAAUGUGAAAAGUUGAAAAGUUAAAGGAAACACAGUGGUCAGAUACAGGAAGAGAGAGAGGAGAGAAACACAGUGGUCAGAGACAGGAAGAGAGAGAGGAGAGAAACACAGUGGUCAGAGACAGGAAGAGAGAGAGGAGAGAAACACAGUGGUCAGAGACAGGAAGAGAGAGAGGAGAGAAACACAGUGGUCAGAGACAGGAAGAGAGAGGAGAGAAACACAGUGGUCAGAGACAGGAAGAGAGAGAGAGGAGAGAAACACAGUGGUCAGAGACAGGAAGAGAGAGAGAGGAGAGAAACACAGUGGUCAGAGACAGGAAGAGAGAGAGAGGAGAGAAACACAGUGGUCAGAGACAGGAAGAGAGAGAGAGGAGAGAAACACAGUGGUCAGAGACAGGAAGAGAGAGGAGAGAAACACAGUGGUCAGAGACAGGAAGAGAGAGAGAGGAGAGAAACACAGUGGUCAGAGACAGGAAGAGAGAGGAGAGAAACACAGUGGUCAGAGACAGGAAGAGAGAGAGAGGAGAGAAACACAGUGGUCAGAGACAGGAAGAGAGAGGAGAGAAACACAGUGGUCAGAGACAGGAAGAGAGAGAGGAGAGAAACACAGCGGUCAGAGACAGGAAGAGAGAGAGGAGAGAAACACAGUGGUCAGAGACAGGAAGAGAGAGGAGAGAAACACAGUGGUCAGAGACAGGAAGAGAGAGAGGAGAGAAACACAGUGGUCAGAGACAGGAAGAGAGAGAGGAGAGAAACACAGUGGUCAGAGACAGGAAGAGAGAGAGAGGAGAGAAAAACAGUGGUCAGAGACAGGAAGAGAGAGGAGAGAAACACAGUGGUCAGAGACAGGAAGAGAGAGGAGAGAAACACAGUGGUCAGAGACAGGAAGAGAGAGGAGAGAAACACAGUGGUCAGAGACAGGAAGAGAGAGAGGAGAGAAACACUGUGGUCAGAGACAGGAAGAGAGAGAGAGGAGAGAAACACAGUGGUCAGAGACAGGAAGAGAGAGGAGAGAAACACUGUGGUCAGAGACAGGAAGAGAGAGGAGAGAAACACAGUGGUCAGAGACAGGAAGAGAGAGAGGAGAGAAACAGAAGAGGGGACAUGUGUAUAACAACUGUGUGUGUGUUCGUGUGUGUGUGUGUGUGUGUGUGUGUGUGUGUGUGUGUGUGUGUGUGUGUGUGUGUGUGUGUCCCUGCUCCAUGUCUCUUGGCUGAACGGCUCCUCUCUAUUUUUAGACCUCCUUCCUGUUUCAGUGGGACAUACCAACACCCCACCAAAGGAAGGGGGGGAUGAGAGAGAGAGAGACACACACACAAAGACAGAGAGAGAGAGACAGAGAAGAGGAAGUGAGAGGGGGAGGUGAGAAGAGAAGACUGGUCGUAUUCCUUCCUUGGUAAAUCAACAGCCCCCCCUCCUCUC
ensembl:lncRNA